AAUAUUUGUCAAUGGGGGCAACCCUGCUCCAGCCAUGCCGCCUGAGUGAUGAAGGCAGUCGGGUUGUAAAGCACUCUUACCAGGGAUGAUAAUGACAGUACCUGGAGAAUAAGCUCCGGCUAACUCCGUGCCAGCAGCCGCGGUAAUACGGAGGGCGCUAGCGUUGUUCGGAAUUACUGGGCGUAAAGCGCACGUAGGCGGAUACUCAAGUCAGAGGUGAAAGCCCGGGGCUCAACCCCGGAACUGCCUUUGAAACUAGGUAGCUAGAAUACGGGAGAGGUUAGUGGAAUUCCGAGUGUAGAGGUGAAAUUCGUGGAUAUUCGGAAGAACACCAGUGGCGAAGGCGGCUCACUGGACAGGUAUUGACGCUGAGGUGCGAAAGCGUGGGGAGCAAACAGG
rnacentral:rRNA from 1 species